GUAGGUGGCAAGCGUUGUCCGGAAUUAUUGGGCGUAAAGCGCGCGCAGGUGGUUCUUUAAGUCUGAUGUGAAAGCCCCCGGCUCAACCGGGAGGGUCAUUGGAAACUGGGGAACUUGAGUGCAGGAGAGGAAAGUGGAAUUCCACGUGUAGCGGUGAAAUGCGUAGAUAUGUGGAGGAACACCAGUGGCGAAGGCGACUUUCUGGCCUGUAACUGACACUGAGGCGCGAAAGCGUGGGGAGCAAACAGGGAUUAGAUACCCUGGUAGUCCACGCCGUAAACGAUGAGUGCUAAGUGUUGGGGGGGGUUUCCCGCCCCGUCAGUGCUGCAGCUAACGCAUUAAGCACUCCGCCUGGGGAUACGGUCGCAAGACUG
rnacentral:rRNA from 1 species